rnacentral:rRNA from 1 species
AUUGAACGCUGGCGGCAUGCUUUACACAUGCAAGUCGAGCGGCAGCGGGGGUGCUUGCACCUGCCGGCGAGUGGCGAACGGGUGAGUAAUACAUCGGAACGUAUCCUUAAGUGGGGAAUAACGCAUCGAAAGAUGUGCUAAUACCGCAUAGUCUUUUACAAGUAAAGCAGGGGAUCGAAAGACCUUGCGCUUGAGGAGCGGCCGAUGUCUGAUUAGCUAGUUGGUGGGGUAAAGGCCUACCAAGGCGACGAUCAGUAGUUGGUCUGAGAGGACGACCAACCACACUGGGACUGAGACACGGCCCAGACUCCUACGGGAGGCAGCAGUGGGGAAUUUUGGACAAUGGGCGAAAGCCUGAUCCAGCCAUGCCGCGUGAGUGAAGAAGGCCUCGGUUGUAAG